GACGAACGCUGGCGGCGUGCUUAACACAUGCAAGUCGAGCGGAGCGGCGAACGGGUGAGUAACGCGUGAGUAACUGCCCCCCUCUCUGGGACUACCGUUGGAAACGGCUGCUAAUACCGGAUAGUGGGGGUUGAAUCUCGUCCUAUCAGCUUGUUGUGGGGGUAGGGGCCUACCAAGGCGACGACGGGUAGCCGGCCUGCGAGGGGGACCGGCCACAUUGGGCUGAGAUAGGGCCCAAACUCCUACGGUCGGCAGCAGGGGGGAAUAUUGCGCAUGGGGGGAAACGCUGAUGCUGCAGCGCCGCGUGCGGGAUGAUUGCCUGCGGGUUGUAAUCCGCUUUCAGCCAUGACGCGGUAGUGGCAGAAGAAGCACCGGCUAACUACGUGCCAGCAGCCGCGGUAAUUC
rnacentral:rRNA from 1 species